CCAGCCAGAAAAGGUGGUAAUACCUCUGUGAUAACAUAUUUAAAAAAGAAAAUAAGUUAUUGUGCAGAAAUAAUUGUGGCCAGAGAAGAG